rnacentral:rRNA from 1 species
UAAGUUGAUAGUGAAAGAGUGUGGCUCAACCACAUAACCAUUAUCAAAACUACAAAGCUAGAGGAUGAGAGAGGUUAUUGGAAUUUCUAGUGUAGGAGUGAAAUCCGUAGAUAUUAGAAGGAACACCGAUGGCGUAGGCAGAUAACUGGCUCAUUCCUGACACUAAGGCACGAAAGCGUGGGAGCGAACGGGAUUAGAUACCCCGGUAGUCCACGCCGUAAACUAUGGGUGCUA